rnacentral:rRNA from 1 species
CCUACGGGUGGCAGCAGUGGGGAAUAUUGGGCAAUGGGCGCAAGCCUGACCCAGCAACGCCGCGUGAAGGAAGAAGGCUUUCGGGUUGUAAACUUCUUUUCUCAGGGACGAAGCAAGUGACGGUACCUGAGGAAUAAGCCACGGCUAACUACGUGCCAGCAGCCGCGGUAAUACGUAGGUGGCAAGCGUUAUCCGGAUGUACUGGGUGUAAAGGGCGUGUAGGAGGGGACGCAAGUCAGGUGUGAAAACCACGGGCUCAACCUGUGGCCUGCAUUUGAAACUGGGUUUCUUGAGUGCUGGAGAGGCAGACGGAAUUCGUAGUGUAGCGGUGAAAUGCGUAGAUAUUAGGAAGAACUCCGAUGGCGAAGGCAGUCUACUGGACAGCAACUGACGCUGAGGCACGAAAGCGUGGGGAGCGAACAGGAUUAGAUACCCCUGUAGUC